UACAGAGGUCUCAAGCGUUGUUCGGAUUCAUUGGGCGUAAAGGGUGCGUAGGUGGCGAGGCAAGUCUGGUGUGAAAUCCCGGGGCUCAACCCCGGAACUGCACUGGAUACUGCCUUGCUUGAGCACUGGAGAGGGAACUGGAAUUUACGGUGUAGCGGUGAAAUGCGUAGAUAUCGUAAGGAAGACCAGUGGCGAAGGCGGCGCUCUGGGCCGGUACUGACGCUGAGGAGCGAAAGCGUGGGGAGCAAACAGG
rnacentral:rRNA from 1 species